UUGGAGGGAAUAGCCACUAAAAAGAUAUUAAUUUUUAAAAGGUAAAACGUAAGUUAUUCCCCUGAUUCCCUCUAAAAGAUUACUAAUAAUUCAAUCCCCGCAAUUCGUUUUUACUCACUAAAAUUCCCUUUGCUCACCACGCCGUCAGUUUGUUCCGAACCAUUGUCGUACUUUCCCUUCUACCCCACCAUCACCGGCCACCAUCAUGAGAUGCAGCAUAAUGCAAUAGCUUACACAAAACUGAGUUGCAAUAGUUUGUCUGGUUCCUGCAUUUGAAGGAUGUCAGUUUAAUUACUGGCAAGAGAAUCUUGAGUUGUGAAAAGAUGGAUCCCCGAAUCGUUGUCGCUAUAUUUAUUGUGCAAGUUAAGGGAAUUAUUUGAGUUAUGAACGAUCUUAGUGUAGUUGUGUGUUGACAUCUUUUAAAUUGUUCAAAUUUGUACAGAGUAGAAUUAGUCGAUCACUACUUUUGUUCUUUGGAUGCAUUACUAAAAGCAUUCACUUUACAUAUCAUUUGUGCUUGUA